rnacentral:tmRNA from 1 species
GGCCUUCUUUCUUCACCUUUUGCCCCCUAUAUUAAGGGUGCCGGUUCGCCGGCUAUGGAAAUAAAUGGCCGUCGCAAUAAACCAUUCGGACCCGGGGGCAG